GAUGAACGCUAGCUACAGGCUUAACACAUGCAAGUCGAGGGACCGGCGUACGGGUGAGUAAUGUAUGGGGAUCUGCCCGAUAGAGGGGGAUAACUACUGGAAACGGUGGCUAAUACCGCAUACUAUCGGAUGAACCCAUAUGGGAUUAGCUAGUAGGUGGGGUAAAGGCUCACCUGGGCGACGAUCUCUAGCUGGUCUGAGAGGAUGAUCAGCCACACUGGGACUGAGACACGGCCCAGACUCCUACGGGAGGCAGCAGUGGGGAAUAUUGCACAAUGGGCGCAAGCCUGAUGCAGCCAUGCCGCGUGUAUGAAGAAGGCCUUAGGGUUGUAAAGUACUUUCAGCGGGGAGGCGUUACCCGCAGAAGAAGCACCGGCUAACUCCGUGCCAGCAGCCGCGGUAAUAC
rnacentral:rRNA from 1 species